AUUGAACGCUGGCGGCAGGCCUGACACAUGCAAGUCGAGCGAGUGGCGGACGGGUGAGUAAUGUCUGGGAAACUGCCUGAUGGAGGGGGAUAACUACUGGAAACGGUAGCUAAUACCGCAUACUAUCAGAUGUGCCCAUAUGGGAUUAGCUUGUUGGUGGGGUAACGGCUCACCAAGGCGACGAUCUCUAGCUGGUCUGAGAGGAUGACCAGCAAAACUGGAACUGAGACACGGUCCAGAAUCCUACGGGAGGAAGCAGUGGGGAAUAUUGCACAAUGGGCGCAAGCCUGAUGCAGCCAUGCCGCGUGUAUGAAGAAGGCCUUCGGGUUGUAAAGUACUUUCAGCGGGGAGGCGUUACCCGCAGAAGAAGCACCGGCUAACUCCGUGCCAGCAGCCGCGGUAAUUC
rnacentral:rRNA from 1 species